GGCGCUAUAGCCAAGUGGUUACGGCGACAGAUUAGAAUCACCCCCAUGGGCGAAGAACGAUCUGUUCCUCUUUGAGGGCGCAGGUUCAAAUCCUGCUGGCGUCG